GCCUUCGAGGUGUAACGGCAGUCCAUUCGGCUUAUAUUCGAGAGGUCUAGGUUCGAGUCCCGGCGAGGGCA
rnacentral:tRNA from 1 species